GUCCCUUUGAUGGCAUUCGAUAAAAUUGGAACGAUACAGAGAAGAUUAGUAUGGUCUCUACGCAAGGAUGACACGCACAAAUCCGAGAAAUGAUCCAAAAAAAA